rnacentral:rRNA from 1 species
AUGACAACCCAUGGCGAGGUUUUUAAGAUGAAACUACUCAUGUACCUCAUCUCAGCUGUUUUCGCGCCGACCACUUCUCUUCGCCCAAGCAACAAAUGCUUCCCCAUCCUGGCGAAACUGAAAGAUGUGAAGAACAUGAAUUGGUGUAAGUUCAUUGCCGACUUCCUGCAUGAUGCAUUUUCAAGCAAGAUGUACCGGAAGGGUUGUCGACUGAAUUUAAUGCUCAUGUACGUCGACUGUCUUGAUCUGUCCACCGUGGAUUUCACUGGGACAGGAGGCCCGCCGCCUAUGCACAAGUUUGCUGUUUCUGCAUGGACUAUCGAUGAUAUCAAGGCUGUGCUUGCUGCAGAUAGGGUAACUGAUACCAAAUAUGGAAAACUGCAGCUGAUGGCCAAGCAUGCUAUAGACUACAGCGUGUUUGGGGGAGCUCAAAACUUUGGAAAGUGGAUGGACGUGCACUCAGCUCCGUCUUGCCCUACUGAGGCGAGGGCACCUGUUGAGCAUCUGAUUGGGCAGUUUGCAUCCGGAAUGACCGACUUGCUCGGGAAGUUGGUUGAGGGGUGGACGUCCCUUAAUGGCUCUGACAGCGAUGCGGUUGCAAGGCAGUUCACUACAUUUGUCCCAGAAUGGACACAUCGGCCAACUGGUUGCCAUGGCCGGUAUGACUACAAUAGUUCCCAAGAGCUUGCUGACACACAAGAUGAACUAGAUGGAGACGCUGGUCUCAGCAAGGAUGACGACGAUGACAUGGAGAACGUGCAAUAG